AUUGAACGCUGGCGGCAGGCCUAACACAUGCAAGUCGAGCGGAGCGGCGGACGGGUGAGUAAGGCCUAGGACUCUGCCUGGUAGUGGGGGAUAGCGUACGGAAACGGACGCUAAUACCGCAUACUCUCAGCUGAGCCUAGGUCUGAAUAGCUAGUGGGUGGGGUAAAGGCAUACCAAGGCGACGAUCCGUAACUUGUCCGAGAGGAUGAUCAGUCACACUGGAACUGAGACACGGUCCAGACGCCUACGGGAGGCAGCAGUGGGGAAUAUUGGACAAUGGGCGCAAGCCUGAUCCAGCCAUGCCGCGUGUGUGAAGAAGGUCUUCGGGUUGUAAAGCACUUUAAGUUGGGAGGCGUUACUAACAGAAUAAGCACCGGCUAACUUCGUGCCAGCAGCCGCGGUAAUAC
rnacentral:rRNA from 1 species